rnacentral:lncRNA from 1 species
CGAGACGGCGUCGCGCUCGCCGUCGCUGGGCGUGGUCCUGCCCUCCCCCGCCUCGCCCUCGGGCAGCACGCUGCGGCUCCAGUGGUCCACUAUCUGCUGCAGGCCGCUGACGUGCUGGAUGACGUCGUCCAGGUGGGGGAACAGGCCGUCCUCCGUCCCCAGGUCCAGCAGGUCGCCGGUGCUGGCGUAGAGGUGGGAGCCGGGCACGUUGUCGUACACGCUCACCCGGCUGCCCCGGGGGGCCGCGGGGCAGCCGGGCUUGGACAGGGGCCUGGCGGACCAGGGCCGGCUCGGGUCGGCGCCGGGCGGCGGCGUGUGGGUGCGAGCGCCGGGGGACGGCACCAGGCUCUCUAUGGACAGCGCUUUGGGGAAGGUGCCGGGUUUGUGGUCCUUGGGGACGUGAAUGAGGAGGUUCUCGUACGAGUGGAACUGGCUCCGGCCGAACGGACAGUGCCCGUCCGUCCUCUUCCCCUGAGAGGGCAGCUCCAUGUCCUCCAGGUACACGCUGCCCCUCUUGCUGGCAGUGCGGGGCCGGGCCGAGGUGGGCCCCGGCCCGGCGGGCCCAGCGGGCCCGGCGGGCCCAGCGGGCCCGGCCGCCUCGGCGCCGGGGCUCACGCUCAUCAUGGACAGGUCUGGACAGUCGUUGCUCAGAGGGGACCCGGCGCCGUCCGCCCGCUGCUCCGCGCUGGGCUCCAGGUGGCUGAUGGGAGUGCACUGCAGCGUCUGCAGGGCCCGCGGCUCCUCCCCCUGCAGCACCGGCCCGCUGAUGACCAGCGGCGGCCUGCGUCCGGGGCCCUUGCGCCUCGUCGACGGCCCCCACGUGCGCACGACCUCCAUCCGCCGCAGGAACUCCUUGGCCUUGCUCCUCCCCGCGUGGCCGUGGCGCCCGCCCUUGAUUGGCAGGGAGUUGUAGUGGGGCAGGUCCGGCGGCUGGUAGGCGGCGCAGAGCGACGCCAUGGAGACGGAGUCGGGCAUGGCGGCCGCCGAGUCCUCGCUGUGCAGCGAGGAGGCGUCGGCGGCCUCCUGCUCGCUCAGGUCGGUCAGCGCGCUCUCGCUGCUCGCCGCGCUGCGCGGGCCCCCGGCCCGGCCCGUCGGGCUGCUGGCGCCGUCCGACAGGAAGUCCUGCAGGCGGGACCAGCGGCGGCUGCUCCACUCGAACGUCCAGCGCUUGCUGAUGGCCAGCUGGUCGUCCUCGUCAGAGUCGUCGCCCUGCGCGGAUGCAGCGGAUGUGAGUGGAUCAGACAAGGUUCCGCUCAGUCGGGUCCACGCUGCACAGUGACUGAUCCACACUGA